UUCAAAAUAUACUAAACUUUACAUAAUUUCUUCUGCCAUGUUUCAAAUUUCCUUACAAGGCUUAUUAUAUAGAGUUUCUCCAAAAAGCUACCCCGAUGCAUACAUAAUGCAUACCACACUGAACUAACUAACAAUCUCUUCCGUGGUUUCCUUAUAAAAAUACAAAGUUCAGAUCAUUCCUUUGAGAUAGCAUCAAUUAUAUCACCACUUGACAGGCUUUUUGCCUUGAUGAACUUCAAGGAUUCCAGUUCGCAUCAAUAAAAUUGUCUCACUAUUCACCUUCUCUUAUUUAUAAGAAAUAGGUGAUGAAUAAAUGGAUGGACAUCAACUGUGUGCAGAACUUUCUCUAAGCCUCAAUGCUCGGGAGGUUUUAGGUAAGUUUACUUCUUUUUCUUUCUUCCCCUCCCCCCAGUGUUAAUGUCUAUCUGCAUAAACUCUUCUAUUUAGAUUUAUCAUGGUGGUUAGAGAGAAUUAAUACAAUAAGAACAAGUAGUGGAUGUGAGUUGCUACUUUUCAGUUUGACUUUUACCAAUUUCAUAUAACUUGCCGUGUGUUUGUUUUGUAUUGUUUGCAUAGAUUAUACUUUGAUCUUCCUUUUAUUAGUUGUCAAGUUAAAAGUGUGGGAAUGGUUGAGAGCUAGAAGCUGCCACUUCACACAUGCUACCUAUGAAUGGUUCAAUGAACCAAUCCUCUGCCUACUCGAUUAUUAGAUGGAAGGAAUUUUUAAGUUUACUGGUUUUGUUAAUUUGUACCGAUACACUUGCAAUACUUUGGCUCUUUGUCAAAUUAUUGAAUCUCUUUUUGUAUAGGGUUUGGGGGUACCCUUUUACCCCCUUGAAUGUAUCAUUGCUUAUAAAAAACAAUCUUUGUUGC